CCUACGGGAGGCUGCAGUGGGGAAUAUUGGACAAUGGGGGGAACCCUGAUCCAGCCAUGCCGCGUGUGUGAAGAAGGCCCUCGGGUUGUAAAGCACUUUCAGUGAGGAAGAACGCCUGGUGGUUAAUACCCAUCAGGAAAGACAUCACUCACAGAAGAAGCACCGGCUAACUCCGUGCCAGCAGCCGCGGUAAUACGGAGGGUGCGAGCGUUAAUCGGAAUUACUGGGCGUAAAGCGCGCGUAGGUGGCUUGAUAAGCCGGUUGUGAAAGCCCCGGGCUCAACCUGGGAACGGCAUCCGGAACUGUCAAGCUAGAGUGCAGGAGAGGAAGGUAGAAUUCCCGGUGUAGCGGUGAAAUGCGUAGAGAUCGGGAGGAAUACCAGUGGCGAAGGCGGCCUUCUGGACUGACACUGACACCGAGGUGCGAAAGCGUGGGUAGCAAACAGGAUUAGAUACCCGUGUAGUC
rnacentral:rRNA from 1 species